rnacentral:rRNA from 1 species
UCCUUAGUACGAGAGGACCGGGAUGGACGGACCGCUGGUGGACCGGUUGGCUUGCCAAAGCCAUGGCCGGGUAGCCAAGUCCGGAAGGGAUAAACGCUGAAGGCAUCUAAGCGUGAAGCCCCCCUCAAGAUGAGAUAUCCCAUUCUUAGUGAAGUAAACCCCCUUGAAGACGACGAGGUAGAUAGGGCAGAGGUGGAAGUGUGGCAACACAUGGAGCUGACUGUUACUAAUCGGGUGAGGGCUUGACCA